rnacentral:rRNA from 1 species
AUUGAACGCUGGCGGCAUGCCUUACACAUGCAAGUCGAACGGUAACGCGCUUUAGGGUGCCGACGAGUGGUGGCCGGGGGCGUAAUACAUAGGAAUGUGUACGAUCGUGGGGGAUCACGAGGCAAAACGUUUGCUAAUACCUCAUACGAUCUAAGGAUGUAAGCAGGGGAGUGCAAGGGCUUGCGCGGAUGUAGCGGUCGCUGGCAGAUUAGGUCGUUGGUGAGGUGAAAGCUUACCAAGCCGACGCUCUGCAGCUGGCCUGAGCGGAUGAGCAGCCACACUGGGACUGAGACACGGCCCAGACUCCUACGGGAGGCAGCAGUGGGGAAUUUUGGACAAUGGGGGGAAGCCUGAUCCAGCCAUGCCGCGUGGAGGAAGAAGGCCUUCGGGUUGUAAACUGCUUUUGUACGGAAAGAAAGGCCUUCGUAUAAUACAGUGGGGUCAUGACGGUACCGGAAGAAUAAGCACCGGCUAACUACGUG